AAAGGCCUAAGAUAAAGGUUAUAAUACUAUACAGUCUGUAACACUGUGACUGAGAAGGAAGAGAGGCAGUCAAGCUGCAAUCACAAAGCAGAGCAGAAUCUGAGAACUAAUGUAACCAGGUGGGCGAGUACUUUGACAAGUUUACGUGUUGGGAGGGCAGGACAGAAAAGAAGGAAGGAGUGGGUGUGGAGUUUCGCUCCCAGCUUCUGGUCAUUCAACAAACUCAGUAGCACCGGAGCAGUCAUAAAGACAGGUUGGCUUCCCACCUCUGGUCUUUUGGACUUUUACUAUGAGAGUGUUGGUGUUUUUGGAUAACAAUGUGUUCACAUUUUACUGAAACUUAUUGAAAGAGGGAACUUCAUUAGGCCAGCGUCACCUUAAACUGGAAUCCACCUGCCUACCUGUUCAUUAAGACUUCAGUAUCAGUUGGGGUAACACACUGGACAACCCGAGGAAUCACUUGUACACUGAAGGAGUGUAUCCAGACUGAAGAGUGGAUUCAAAACAGUGCCAUUUAAUGUGAUCAGAAAUGUCUGACUCACCUCAGACGAAAGUGAUGGUGGAUGAAGCGGUCCCACUGAACAACAUAUCAGGUUCGGGUGACACACCGAAUAGCAAUGCCAUUUCUGGGCGGGGUUCUGCGACCUGCGGCCAUGACAAGUACCAUAGGAAACUGGCAAUCAGCAGCAUCAUCUGUGGGAUCACCUGCAUUGGAGUCAUUGCUUUGACUAAUUCAUUCAAGGCUGAACAUACAACAGACCCAACGCUAGCUGCAACAUUUUCACGACGAGCAAGGAAAUAUUCCAUCAUUUCCAUUGUAGUAUUGGUUUCUAUUCUGGUCUCAAUCCCCAUACUGAUGGCACUUAUCACAUAUGUUCUCACUCUGCAAGAUUGAGAAACACAGACAAACCUCUGCAGAAGACACCCAGUGGAGACGCUUUCCUGCUUUCGGAUGGAGACAGCACAAAAGCUUCUUAUCAACAAAGAACCAUGAAGAUAUGAAGAAACCACUGGUUACAUGAAACACAAAAAAAGAUGGCUUUGGUCUUCAAUUUACCCCUUACUCUUAAACAUCUCUCUCUCUCUCUGUUUUUUUACACAAGAAAUAGCUCUAGAAAACUCAACCUUUACAUGUUUUUACACACUAGUAUUUAUUUCAAUGACCACAAAAGCCAUUAUCAGCUGCAGUUUGAAAGAUGACACAUACAUUACAUACUUAAAAUUAUAACUGUCAUAUUCAUGGCACCUUAAAUGUCAUUAAAAUUUAGCAACCAUAACAAAGGUUUGAACACGGGUUCUUUUUCAGUUCAAUACUGUGUCAUUAGCACAUACUAUAAACACAUGCAGAUACCACAAAGUUUAAAAAGAGCAACAUAAAGCUGUUCAUCCUGGACUGGGUCUGUACUUUAAAUGACAAGGCAUGACAGUGGUUCAUGAAAACACGGACUUCUAGCUUGGUGCCAACAUUGUGCAAGCAUUAUUGCAUUGUUACCAUAUUAGCUUUAUUGAUGUCAAAUGUAUCAGUAUGUUGUACUUUUAUACAAAUAUAUAAAACAAUUUUCUAGUAAUGACAAAACUGUGCUCCUGUUGUUGGAAACAUGCCCUCAUGAAAAUACUUAUUGUAAAUACACCUACAAAACAUUUUAACAGAAAAUCUUACUGUUAAGAAACCUAAAACAAAAAACAAACAUAGGCAGUUUAACAAGAACUUUGACUUCACAUAUCAAUCUAGACACCACAGAACAAUCCAGAGUGAACCACAGGUAACACUGGAGUCUCGACAUGUCCACUCUUUAUUAGAAAAGCUCGAGUGCUGCAGUGCGUCCAUGUUACAUUUUACACAACAAAAACCUCUCCAACCAUAAAUUACAGUUAACCAAAUAACUGAUGAAGGUCUGCACUGAGCUUAGAAAAAAAGAUUUACAAUUUCCUUGCUAUUUGCAGACUCACCGUUCAUAAACUUCAUGGACAGAAACAUGGUUGUGAAACUGGCUGAAGUGAACACAAAUCUCUUGCUGGCAUCUGAAAAGAUCUAGUCAGCAUUUAAUUGAAUAAUAUCUGCCUUUACAAUAACCUACGAUGAUGCUGCAAAGUCACUACUACUUAUGUGAUACACUGCUGUCUAUCAAACCCGACAGCACAACACCAACGAGAUGUAAACUGCAUUGGUAUUUUUGAAAAGAAACGGUAAUUGCAGCAAAAUAGCAUCAUCACUCCCCGUUGAAGGGAGUUUGUAACAAUCUGGGGACAAGACUGAGAUUUCAGACAAAACAUACUCUAUAAAAGGUUUACAUCAAGGGUGUCAGCAUUUGUAUCAAGACAGUUUCACUUACUGCUGAUAGAAAGAACGAAUGGCAAAGGUUUGUGCUGUAAUGAUAAAAUUAUGUAUUGCUCUUCGACAUGCACGCCCCAAACGCUGCAGAAUGAAAAUGUAAUUCAAUAAUAACUUGUUACCAUAACAUUUAUAUACAGACCAUGGUGACAAAGACAAAAAAA